rnacentral:lncRNA from 1 species
AUGUGUUAUGAGUGGGUUAUUACCACUGUGGGCAGCUGGGCUCUCCUGUGCCAGAGGACCCUCUGGAAACCACACAGAACAUACCAGAAGCUGACACUCAACUCCUGUCCAACCCCUAUUGUUGAAGGUGGCCUGGAGUCAUUCCCAUCCCCCAACUUUCCAAGCUGCAUUUCCUGGUCCUGAGAAAGCCCUCAUCAAGAGUAAAUGAGAAACACAGACACCUGAGAAGGUAUGUCGAAAACUGUCUAAUGCAACUGCGCAUGCACCCUCGCUAGCCGCGGGUGAAGGGGACCAAGUGCCAGCAGCAUCUGCCGUCAGGUUGGAAGCAGCUCUGGAAUAAAGGAGAAAACCACCAUAAUGGAAAGAACCAGAUGGGGACUAUGAGAUCUUACGGCAUCUCAAAGGGCAGAAGUCUGGACAGGAAGACCAGUUGCAUAGUGGAGGAUUCCCAAGGUAGACCACGUGUGUGCCAGCCCAGCAGGCAAACUGCCCCGUAUGAGUUUGUCCAUCAACUGUGCGUGCAGAUCUUUACUCGCAUGCAUGACACAGGAAGCCCACGGGACACUUCCCCAGCACGCCCCGCUUCCUCUGCACUCCUGGAAGGAAGACCUGUUCUUGCUUCUUCCGUACUCUCAGGAUCUGGCACAGAACCCGACAAAGGAAAUAUUUAAUGAACUAUGGCGUAGGCCUGGCCCUGAACGACACCCUGGGGACCCAGCAGCAGCAAGGUGCAGCUUCUGCCCUCAGCAACCUCACGGUCUAAUGGACGCGGCACAGUGGGCAGGAAGUGACACCAAAGAGCAUCAGGAUUAGGAAGUCUGUUCGGAUUAGCAUGGAAUCAGAGUCUCCCUGCCCUGGGAAUCAUUGCUGGCCAUGGCAGUUGCUGAGACUGGGAGCUAAAAGGUGCAUCUGAGUUGGAGUCUUGUCAUGUUCCUUCAGGUGUGUGUUGGACCAAGCUGCCUACCAUGUGUACGCAUACUGCCCACACAUGUGGUUAGCACCCUGGAUGGUUCGAUUCCAUGUCAGCUUGGCUGUUGGUGGGAAGUGGAUGAGUGGUCCAUGCAGACUCUCUGGAGCAGCCCAGCUUCCCAGAACUGAGAUCACUAAACCAAGAAGAGGAGGCACCUUGGACCUGGGUAAAGGCUCCUUUCCAAGCUACUGCACAAAGAGGCCCAGGAGAAAUCAAAAGAUCAUGGACUGUUUUUGCUAUUGCAUGUGUUCCACCUUCAGUAUGGACUGUUGCCCUCCUUGCAGAUGUCGAGAUGGAACCUCACCAGGGCUUCCUUCUGAAAUGAAACUUCCAGAAAGCAGCAGACAGACCACAGAACAUCCUUCCUAGAAAAAGAAAAGCCGUCUGUAGACCAGCAACAGCUCUGAUCACAUGACUGCAAGCAAGGUUUCCAAAGAAAUCAAAAUGAUAGCUUGAAGAAUGAGCAUUGACAAUUUCUUUGUAGAAAGAUUC